UGUGGCUAAUGAAGCACAUAGUCACUCAUUAUCUGUGAGAGACAACACUUCCUGGCUUCAGACACUUCCUGGAUCGAGUUGCUAAUUUCUGGUCUUUGACUCGACCAGAUAACAACAUGCCGCCCCUGAAAAAUCAUCCGAUAAUAUCAGUCUAUUUUCAGACUGGCUGCACCUCAAGUGAAAACUGAGAGUACUUGAGGACAAUUCUACAACAUAGCCAGACCCUGAGUCACCGAGCCCCGGAAGUUACAGAUCACUGCGGAGACACAGAGACAGAAGGGGAAAACAUGAGAAAACAUGAGAAAAUCUGAGACUCUACUCACAUUUUAGGAACAUGGUGACCAAAAUAAACAGCUGCAACGUGACAUUUGGGUUUCUGAAUUAUUUAUAUUCAUUAUCAAUACAUCUAGAGAUCAUUAUUUAAUACUCAGCAGCACAUUUCUUGAGCCACAUGAACACCAAGCUGUGACAGCAGCGUGAUGUAAGUCCGGGCUGCACUGUAGCAGCCGUGUUGAUGCUAAUAAUCCUCAUGAAUGCAGCAGUGAAACCCAGAAAACAACAGACUCAGAG